GGGUUGUGAGGUUAAGCGACUAAGCGUACACGGUGGAUGCCCUGGCAGUCAGAGGCGAUGAAGGGCGUGCUAAUCUGCGAUAAGCGCCGGUAAGGUGAUAUGAACCGUUAUAACCGGCGAUACCCGAAUGGGGAAACCCAGUGUGACUCGUCACACUAUCAUUAACUGAAUCCAUAGGUUAAUGAGGCGAACCGGGGGAACUGAAACAUCUAAGUACCCCGAGGAAAAGAAAUCAACCGAGAUUCCCCCAGUAGCGGCGAGCGAACGGGGAGGAGCCCAGAGCCUGAAUCAGCAUGUGUGUUAGUGGAAGCGUCUGGAAAGGCGCGCGAUACAGGGUGACAGCCCCGUACACAAAAGCGCAUGUGCUGUGAGCUCGAUGAGUAGGGCGGGACACGUGGUAUCCUGUCUGAAUAUGGGGGGACCAUCCUCCAAGGCUAAAUACUCCUGACUGACCGAUAGUGAACCAGUACCGUGAGGGAAAGGCGAAAAGAACCCCGGCGAGGGGAGUGAAAAAGAACCUGAAACCGUGUACGUACAAGCAGUGGGAGCCCCACCACCAAAGCAUUCUCUGGUGUUGAAGGCCCUGCAAAGCAGCAUCGCGGUGGCGGAGCGUCGUUUGCGACGCCCAACACACAAAACAAGCGGUGAAUGCUUUGGGGUGGGGUGACUGCGUACCUUUUGUAUAAUGGGUCAGCGACUUAUAUUCUGUAGCAAGGUUAACCGAAUAGGGGAGCCGGAGGGAAACCGAGUCUUAACCGGGCGUUAAGUUGCAGGGUAUAGACCCGAAACCCGGUGAUCUAGCCAUGGGCAGGUUGAAGGUUGGGUAACACUAACUGGAGGACCGAACCGACUAAUGUUGAAAAAUUAGCGGAUGACCUGUGGCUGGGGGUGAAAGGCCAAUCAAACCGGGAGAUAGCUGGUUCUCCCCGAAAGCUAUUUAGGUAGCGCCUCGUGAAUUCAUCUCCGGGGGUAGAGCACUGUUUCGGCUAGGGGGCCAUCCCGGCUUACCAACCCGAUGCAAACUGCGAAUACCGGAGAAUGUUAUCACGGGAGACACACGGCGGGUGCUAACGUCCGUCGUGAAGAGGGAAACAACCCAGACCGCCAGCUAAGGUCCCAAAGUCAUGGUUAAGUGGGAAACGAUGUGGGAAGGCCCAGACAGCCAGGAUGUUGGCUUAGAAGCAGCCAUCAUUUAAAGAAAGCGUAAUAGCUCACUGGUCGAGUCGGCCUGCGCGGAAGAUGUAACGGGGCUAAACCAUGCACCGAAGCUGCGGCAGCGACGCUGAUGCGUUGUUGGGUAGGGGAGCGUUCUGUAAGCCUGCGAAGGUGACCUGUGAGGGUUGCUGGAGGUAUCAGAAGUGCGAAUGCUGACAUAAGUAACGAUAAAGCGGGUGAAAAGCCCGCUCGCCGGAAGACCAAGGGUUCCUGUCCAACGUUAAUCGGGGCAGGGUGAGUCGACCCCUAAGGCGAGGCCGAAAGGCGUAGUCGAUGGGAAACGGGUUAAUAUUCCCGUACUUGGUGUUACUGCGAAGGGGGGACGGAGAAGGCUAUGUUGGCCGGGCGACGGUUGUCCCGGUUUAAGCGUGUAGGUGUGUGUUCCAGGUAAAUCCGGUUCACUUUAACACUGAGGCGUGAUGACGAGGCACUACGGUGCUGAAGCAACAAAUGCCCUGCUUCCAGGAAAAGCCUCUAAGCAUCAGGUAACAUCAAAUCGUACCCCAAACCGACACAGGUGGUCAGGUAGAGAAUACCAAGGCGCUUGAGAGAACUCGGGUGAAGGAACUAGGCAAAAUGGUGCCGUAACUUCGGGAGAAGGCACGCUGACACGUAGGUGAAGUGAUUUACUCACGGAGCUGAAGUCAGUCGAAGAUACCAGCUGGCUGCAACUGUUUAUUAAAAACACAGCACUGUGCAAACACGAAAGUGGACGUAUACGGUGUGACGCCUGCCCGGUGCCGGAAGGUUAAUUGAUGGGGUCAGCGCAAGCGAAGCUCCUGAUCGAAGCCCCGGUAAACGGCGGCCGUAACUAUAACGGUCCUAAGGUAGCGAAAUUCCUUGUCGGGUAAGUUCCGACCUGCACGAAUGGCGUAAUGAUGGCCAGGCUGUCUCCACCCGAGACUCAGUGAAAUUGAACUCGCUGUGAAGAUGCAGUGUACCCGCGGCAAGACGGAAAGACCCCGUGAACCUUUACUAUAGCUUGACACUGAACAUUGAGCCUUGAUGUGUAGGAUAGGUGGGAGGCUUUGAAGUGUGGACGCCAGUCUGCAUGGAGCCGACCUUGAAAUACCACCCUUUAAUGUUUGAUGUUCUAACGUGGACCCGUAAUCCGGGUUGCGGACAGUGUCUGGUGGGUAGUUUGACUGGGGCGGUCUCCUCCUAAAGAGUAACGGAGGAGCACGAAGGUUGGCUAAUCCUGGUCGGACAUCAGGAGGUUAGUGCAAUGGCAUAAGCCAGCUUGACUGCGAGCGUGACGGCGCGAGCAGGUGCGAAAGCAGGUCAUAGUGAUCCGGUGGUUCUGAAUGGAAGGGCCAUCGCUCAACGGAUAAAAGGUACUCCGGGGAUAACAGGCUGAUACCGCCCAAGAGUUCAUAUCGACGGCGGUGUUUGGCACCUCGAUGUCGGCUCAUCACAUCCUGGGGCUGAAGUAGGUCCCAAGGGUAUGGCUGUUCGCCAUUUAAAGUGGUACGCGAGCUGGGUUUAGAACGUCGUGAGACAGUUCGGUCCCUAUCUGCCGUGGGCGCUGGAGAACUGAGGGGGGCUGCUCCUAGUACGAGAGGACCGGAGUGGACGCAUCACUGGUGUUCGGGUUGUCAUGCCAAUGGCACUGCCCGGUAGCUAAAUGCGGAAGAGAUAAGUGCUGAAAGCAUCUAAGCACGAAACUUGCCCCGAGAUGAGUUCUCCCUGAGACUUUAGGUCUCCUGAAGGAACGUUGAAGACGACGACGUUGAUAGGCCGGGUGUGUAAGCGCAGCGAUGCGUUGAGCUAACCGGUACUAAUGAACCGUGAGGCUUAACCUUACAACGCCGAAG
rnacentral:rRNA from 1 species